CGCGUAGGCGGCCAAUUAAGUCAAAUGUGAAAUCCCCGAGCUUAACUUGGGAAUUGCAUUCGAUACUGGUUGGCUAGAGUGUGGGAGAGGAUGGUAGAAUUCCAGGUGUAGCGGUGAAAUGCGUAGAGAUCUGGAGGAAUACCGAUGGCGAAGGCAGCCAUCUGGCCUAACACUGACGCUGAUGGACGAAAGCGUGGGGAGCGAACAGGAUUAGAUACCCUAGUA
rnacentral:rRNA from 1 species